GGCCGAUCAGGCCGUUGGCGAGGUAACGGCUCACCAAACCUUUGACCGGUACGGGCCAUGAGAGUGGUAGCCCGGAGAUGGACACUGAGAUAGGGGUCCAGGCCCUACGGGGCGCAGCAGGCGCGAAAACUCCGCACUGUACGUAAGUACGAUGGGGUUACCUCGAGUGUAGUCUGUAAAAGAUUGCUUUUCCAUAGAGUAAUAUCCUGUGGGAAUAAGAGGGGGGCAAGACUGGUGUCAGCCGCCGCGGUAACACCAGCCCCUCGAGUGGUAGGGACUUUUAUUUGGCCUAAAGCGUUCGUAGCCGUCUGUAACCGUUGCCCGUUAAAUCCAGCGUCUCAAGCGUUGGACUGCGGGCGAUACCUUACAGAUUGAGGGUGGGAUAGGUAAGCGGUAUUUCUGGGGUAGGGGCGAAAUCCUUUGAUCCCAGGAGGACCACCAGUGGCGAAGGCUGCUUACUAGAACACGCCUGACGGUCAGGAACGAAAGCUGGGGUAGCGAACCGGAUUAGAUACCCGGGUAGUCCCAGCUGUAAACGAUGCGCGCUAGGUGUUGGGUCGGCCAUGCGCCGCCCCAGUGCCGCAGGGAAGCCGUUAAGCGCGCCGCCUGGGGAGUACGGCCGCAAGGCUGAAACUUAAAGGAAUUGGCGGGGGAGCAC
rnacentral:rRNA from 1 species